GUCUUCUCAUUGAGCUCCUUUCUGUCGCUCUGUGGCAGUUACGGAUUCGCACGAGAAGAAGAGACAAUUCACAGAGCUAGCAUUAUUUUGCCUCUUCAGAGGUAUAUGCUGCUGUUUUGUGAGACAUUU